UACGUAGGUGGCAAGCGUUGUCCGGAAUUAUUGGGCGUAAAGCGCGCGCAGGCGGUUUCUUAAGUCUGAUGUGAAAGCCCACGGCUCAACCGUGGAGGGUCAUUGGAAACUGGGGAACUUGAGUGCAGAAGAGAAGAGCGGAAUUCCACGUGUAGCGGUGAAAUGCGUAGAGAUGUGGAGGAACACCAGUGGCGAAGGCGGCUCUUGGUCUGUAACUGACGCUGAGGCGCGAAAGCGUGGGGAGC
rnacentral:rRNA from 1 species